rnacentral:precursor_RNA from 7 species
UUGGGCUGCUCCCGGAUCCCUCUCCACUUCUGAUCACCUCGGACGUUGCUUUGGUGACAACCCGGAGCAAAGCAACGAGAGGUCGGUCUGAAACACCACUGCUGCUGCAGCUGGAGCUGCC